AGGAAACAACUUUAUACCACCCUUGAGAUUAUGAACACCAAUGCAAAUGAUGUCAUGUGCAAACACAAAACUGUUUGAUGACUUAAAAGAGUGGGGAAUGUUAAAACUCCUCCUCCUCCUCCACUUCUCCUCUCCUCAGUGUCUUUAUAAGCUUCACUCUCUCUUCUCCUCACACUCCAACCCUGCUCACCUCUCAGCUGAACAGUGAGGGACGUUUACACAACACACUGACAACAUGCUGGGGACGCUCUGCACUCUCAUCACUGCUCUAACAUGUGUGAGUGGUGUGACGGUGGUGACACAGAAGCCUCCUGUUGUGACAGUGAGGAAAGGAGAGACAGCCACCAUGGAAUGCAUUGCUCCUUUAGAUGGUGCUCGCUGGUAUAAACAGAUUCCUGGAGGAGUUCCUCAGUUUGUGCUGGUGUUUGAUCACAGCUGGAGCUCUCCUAAGUAUGGCUCUGGUUUCUCUUCUCCAAAGUUCACAUCUACUCAUCAGUCUACAUCAGAUUAUCAUUUGAUAAUCAAUAAUGUGGAGGAGGGAGAUUCAGCAGUUUAUUACUGUCAUCGAUGGGACGACUCUGUGAAGGAGCAUGUAUCACAGUGAUUUACAGUGUAACAAAAACCUCCUUACUCAUAGUUCCUCCUUCUGAGUCUCCA